rnacentral:rRNA from 1 species
GGGAGGAAUAUUGGUCAAUGGACGGGAGUCUGAACCAGCCAAGUCGCGUGAGGGAUGAAGGUCCUACGGAUUGUAAACCUCUUUUUGCCGGGGAGUAACGUCGUCCACGCGUGGGCGAGUGAGAGUACCCGGAGAAAAAGCAUCGGCUAACUCCGUGCCAGCAGCCGCGGUAAUACGGAGGAUGCGAGCGUUAUCCGGAUUUAUUGGGUUUAAAGGGUGCGCAGGCGGCGCGUCAAAGUCAGCGGUAAAAAUGCGGCGCUCAACGCCGUAGAGCCGUUGAAAACUGGCGCGCUCGAGUAUGUGCGAGGAAGGCGGAAUGCGUGGUGUAGCGGUGAAAUGCAUAGAUAUCACGCA